GUGGGGCCCCAUAACCUGCUCAAAACGAAUCUGAAACAUUUUUUUCUUUUGUUUCGAC
rnacentral:tRNA from 1 species